rnacentral:rRNA from 1 species
UUCGCAAUGCCCGAAAGGGUGACGAAGCGACGCCGCGUGCGGGAAGAAGGCCUUCGGGUUGUAAACCGCUGUCGGGAGUUAGGAAAUGCAAGGAUAUUAAUAGUGUCUUUGUUUGACUAAGGCUCCGGAGGAAGCCACGGCUAACUCUGUGCCAGCAGCCGCGGUAAUACAGAGGCGGCAAGCGUUGUUCGGAAUUAUUGGGCGUAAAGAGCACGUAGGCGGCUAUGUAAGUCGGUUGUGGAAGCCUUCCGCUCAACGGAAGAACAGCAUCCGAUACUACAUGGCUUGAGUGCGGGAGGGGAGAGUGGAACUUCUGGUGGAGCGGUGAAAUGCGUAGAUAUCAGAAGGAACGCCGGCGGCGAAAGCGGCUCUCUGGCCCAUAACUGACGCUGAGUGUGCGAAAGCUAGGGGAGCAAACGGGAUUAGAUACCCCGGUAGUCCUAGCCGUAAACGAUGGGCACUAAGUAGAGGGGUUUU